UACGGAGGGUGCGAGCGUUGUCCGGAAUCACUGGGCGUAAAGGGCGCGUAGGUGGCGCGAGUAGUCAACGGUGAAAGCCCGGGGCUCAACCCCGGGUCGGCCGUCGAUACUCUCGUGCUUGAGCACUGCAGAGGCAGGUGGAAUUCCGGGUGUAGCGGUGGAAUGCGUAGAGAUCCGGAAGAACACCGGUGGCGAAGGCGGCCUGCUGGGCAGUAGCUGACACUGAGGCGCGACAGCGUGGGGAGCAAACAGG
rnacentral:rRNA from 1 species